CGCCUUCAAAAAGGCGUCCGGAGCGCCUAUAUUGGGGAUGUCGGGAAACCGACUAUGGCGAUAAACGCCGCGUGGAAUAAGCGUUUCGGACCCGGGGGCAGUACCCGGCGCCUCCACCAUUCACCUCCAACCCGCAAGGGACGGAGUCGAUGGGGGCGAACCAGGAUCGACGAGCGUGGUAAAGGCGCGGUUUUUGCCCGGUAUGGUUCCGCCGUGACGGGCCAUUCACAAGUGCUAACGAUAACACCGUUACACUCGCUGCUGCCGCCUAAACAGCGGAC
rnacentral:tmRNA from 1 species